GGUGCGUUGGGGAAGAGGUUAACCCACUCCGUUUGGGUCGGAGAGGUCGCCGGUUCGAAUCCGGUACGCACCC